UAGUGUGUAAUCUGUUGUGGGCCA
rnacentral:siRNA from 1 species